rnacentral:misc_RNA from 1 species
GGAGGGAUCAUUAACACGUUUCUCAAAAAAACGUAUCCAACCCAAUAACCCCGUGAACAAACAAAACUCCCUUCAUAGUCGGACGACGGAACAAUCAUCAGGGUGGACUCUUUCUUGUCGGUAUGGACAUCACACGGAAACGUGCGGUGAACCCAGCUAUGAAAGUCUAUGACUCGGUCUAGGGACUCAUCGAGGUCUCAAUCCGCUAUGAAGUGUCUUUGCGACCACCUGGCAGACUACAAACCUGUGUAGCCCGCAUCAACGCAACCGAUUCAUUUCGGGAGCGUCGCGGAUCCCUAUACAGCAGCGUAGCGUUCUGCCGAAUCUAUUUAACCCAAAUUUUUUAACCCCUUUAACAACAUACUAAUAACUGAACCAUUUUCAAUCGUACGAUUGUGACCCGACGAGCGGACCCAAAUAAGUGAGUGAUUCAUCUUCGGGUGUUUUGCGAGCCUUGGCCGUGAGGGAGGAAGCUUCGUGUGAGCGGAAUUGAUAUACGUAAUGCUGAACAACUCUUAGCAAUGGAUAUCUUGGUUCUCGUAACGAUGAAGAACGCAGCGAAAUGCGAUACGUAAUGCGAAUUGCAGAAUUCAGUGAAUCAUCAAAUCUUUGAACGCAAAUGGCGCUCUCGGGAUAUGCCCGGGAGCAUGCCUCUCUGAGUAUCGGUUCUAUCAAUCGACGUCAGCGUGCUUACUAGCAAUAGUAACGACAUCGACAGACGGCGGAAAAUGAGCGUCUGGCUGCGCAAGCAAGCUAGUCACUUUAAAUGGAUAGAAGCUUGGAUCGCACUAGAAGGCUCCUGUUCUUCGGAAUGGGAUUAGCAAGACUCCGAUAUGGGCUCUGCACUUUACUAGUGACGUGGAUAGAAGUACCACUUGCUGGUCUUUCAAAACGUCUGCUGGUGUUGUAUGGUAGCUUGUGAGUCUCUGUGAAGCUCUAGACCGCAAUCCUUGUCUUGUCAAUCGAAUUCUAACAGUGUUACAGCUGUUAUUUUUGAAUUAGAUCUCAGAUGAAGCAAGAGGACCCCCUGAAUUUAAGCAUAUUAUUAAGGGGAGGAAAAGAAACUAACAAGGAUUCCCCUAGUAACGGCGAGUGAAGCGGGAAAUAGCUCAAUCUGGGAAUCGAGAGUGGAAGCCCACGCCUCGAAUUGUAGCCUAGAGACGUGUUGUCAGCGUGUGACCUCGGUACAAGUCCUUUGAAACAGGGCAUCAUAGAGGGUGAGAAUCCCGUCUCUGACCGAGAGUUCGCCGCGUACGACGCAUGUUCGACGAGUCGAGUUGUUUGGGAUUGCAGCUCUAAAUGGGUGGUAAAUUUCAUCUAAAGCUAAAUAUCGACGAGAGACCGAUAGCGAACAAGUACCGUGAGGGAAAGAUGAAAAGAACUUUGAAAAGAGAGUUAAAAAGUACUUGAAAUUGUUAAGAGGGAAGCGCUAGCAAGCAGUCAUGACACGCAGCUAUACUUAGUAGUGGACACCGAAAUCGACUGCGGACCAGAUCGCAAGACUGUGUCGGGAAGAGGACGAGUGGCUGCUGCGUCAUAUAGUUGUGUGUGGGUCAGAGUCAAUUCGGGUGCGCAGCUGAAGGCAUGCAGAAAGGUAGGGUCUCCGGACCUGUUAUAGUCUGUGUGCUGUACUGUGCCCUGGAUUGAGGAUUGAUAAUGGACGCCGUAAGGUUUCGGCGCGGCUCUUCUGUUGGGCGGCGUGGCUCCGAGGACAAUGUCCUGUGGGUUGCGCCUGUCUGAUCCUGGGUGUCGCUGCCAGAUGUCCAUUCGCGAUUCUGACGAAAUGCUUGCUAUCGACCCGUCUUGAAACACGGACCAAGGAGUCUAACAUAUAUGCGAGUAUUUGGGUGCCAAACUCGGAUGCGUAAUGAAAGUAAAGGUAGCUUCGGCUGCUGAGGUAGGAAGGGUGUCAAAACCUGGCACUAUCGACCGAUCGUCACUUGUGAUUGAUUUGAGUGCGAGCAUAUCUGUUGGGACCCGAAAGAUGGUGAUCUAUGCCUGAACAGGGUGAAGCCAGGGGAAACUCUGGUGGAGGCUCGUAGCGAUACUGACGUGCAAAUCGUUCGUCUGAUUUGGGUAUAGGGGCGAAAGACUAAUCGAACCAUCUAGUAGCUGGUUCCCUC